GCGAGAAAGUUUCUUCGGAAAUGAGUAAAGCGGCGAACGGGUGAGUAACGCGUAGGAAUCUACCAUUCAGCGGGGGAUAGCUCGAGGAAACUCGAAUUAAUACCGCAUACACCCUACGGGGGAAAGAAGGCCUCUCCUUGGAAGCUUUCACUGUUUGAUGAGCCUGCGUGAGAUUAGUUUGUUGGUGAGGUAAUGGCUCACCAAGACUACGAUCUCUAGCUGGUCUGAGAGGACGAUCAGCCACACUGGGACUGAGACACGGCCCAGACUCCUACGGGAGGCAGCAGUAGAGAAUAUUGGACAAUGGGGGCAACCCUGAUCCAGGCAUGCCGCGUGUGUGAAGAAGGCCUUAGGGUUGUAAAGCACUUUAGGUAAGGAAGAAAAGUUAAUAGUUAAUACCUGUUGACCGUGACAUUACUUACAGAAUAAGGACCGGC
rnacentral:rRNA from 1 species